rnacentral:lncRNA from 1 species
UGCAUUUUAAAACAAAUGGUUUUCAAAGAGGAAAAAUAAUUUGUAUCCCAAAAACCAUUUGACAUACAUGUUUCACUAAAAUAGAAUAAAAUCAUGUUAUGAAGUUAAUUUGUUACCUGAAGCUACAAUGGAUGCAAUGGAUAUAAUUGCAAAGAUAACAUAGAGACUCUUGAUAUUGGUGGCCAUUCUACUUUGAAAGGUUUAAGAGCAAGUGCUUCCGGUAUGUUAUUUGAAAUGGCUAGAGAAGUGUAAACCAAAAAAAAACAAAAUGGCUAGAGAAGUAAUUGAAAGAUUUUUUGUUUUUACCAAAGUAAUUGAAUGAAUUUAAAACUUAUAUAUAUGAAGGGUCAUUUAUGAAAUAAUAUUAAAUAUAUAUAAUGAUAACAACAUUAGACAUAUAUUGAAGGGUACAUAUAUAUAAUAUU